ACACACAGACUUAUACACAAAUGUUCAUAACAGCAUUAUUCAUAAUAGGCAGAGUGUGGAAACAAACAAAUGUCUCUCCACUGGUGAACGGACACAUCCAUGUGGUGUGUCUGUCCUUACGGCGAAACAUUAUUUAGCAGUCAAGAGGAAUGAAGUACUGAUUCAGUUAUAACAUGAAUGAACUCGAAACUUUAUGCUGUGUGAAGAAAGCCAGACAGAAAAGGCCACACAUUACGUGAUUCCAUUUUUUUUUUUCAUGGCACGCCCAGAAUAGGCAAAUCUACGGAGACAGAAAGCAGAUCAGCGGUUGUCUAGGGUUGGGGGGUGGCAAGGAGGAAAUGAAGAAUGACUGCUGAUGGAUGUGGGGUUUCUUUUUGAUCGACAAAAAUGCUCCAAAAUUGAUGGUGGCGAUGUUUAUACAACUCUGCCAGCACACUAAAAACCCGUGAAUUGUGCACUUGGAACGAGGUGUCUGUGUGUGAAUUACAUCUCCAUAAAGCUGUUAUAAAGACCAUUUGGAGGGUGACUGGCAUGUGAUCUUCAUGGCGAUCUCCUCUAUCGAAGAUCUAGGUCACUAGUGGAUUAUGAAAAUGCUAACAAAGCACUGGACAAAGCAAGAGCGAAAAAUAAAGAUGUUCUUCAGGCUGAGACAUCCCAACAAUUAUGUUGUCAGAAAUUUGAAAAAAUAUCUGAAUCUGCAAAACAAGAACUUAUAGAUUUUAAGACGAGAAGAGUUGCCGCAUUCAGAAAAAAUUUAGUGGAACUGGCAGAGUUAGAACUGAAGCAUGCAAAGGGUAACCUACAGUUGCUGCAGAACUGCUUGGCAGUGUUAAAUGGAGACACAUAAGCCACACUCCGCCUUUGGUUAAAAAGGGCUGCCUUCCUUCAGAUUUUAUUUUUGUUUUCUUAAUGAGAUUAGGCAUUUACUGCUCACUGGAAACAAAAGAAACAGCUGACCAAGCGCAUCUACUCUCCUUUUUUUCUGAGAAGCGAUGGAGCGGUGCCGUCCACGGGUUUUGCGGGUCCGUCCGUCUGUGUGGUGGAACGCUGCCCUCCUGCAGCUCCCCGUGUGCUCCCUGGGACGGUUGUCCAUCACCGUGCGCUCCUCCUCUUCCGAAGCCCAGCGUUCAGUCCUUUUUUAAGUAGCCUCUGUAACUGUCUUUAUUUUCUGAAUAGCGUUCCUUAUGGCUGCCAAUCUUAUUUCCCUUUAAGUAAUCUCUGAUGUUUAACCCUUUCAAAGAUGCAUUGUUCAGACAAGAUAAAGGUUGCCAUUACCUUUUGUUUUCUUUUGGUGUUUUUGUUAUGUUUUGUUUUGUUUUGUUUUGUUUUGUUUAAAAACAUUGUAUGCCACCUUAGUUCAUCCAUGUAUCCUGGUAAAAGCAUCUUAAUCAGACUUAUUUUUAAUUAAUGAACAUUUCUUAGAAGUUUUGGGACAGACUUUAUGUAAUCUUUAUAAGUAUGAUUUCUGAUGAAAAGCGACUGCAUUAGUAUGUUUGCCUUAAACUUGUAGACUAAACCGACUAUUGUCAAAUAAACCGUGGUAACAGUGAUAGUUUUUAACUCUGUGGUCAUUGUAUCACUCUAAAAUUUGGAGUAGCUAUAAUCAAUCUACUCCUUCGUUAUGCUUUACAGUGCAGGUCUUCUCUCUUUUUUCUCUGAAAAUGGCAUGUUGAACCAGGUUCACCAGUCCCCUUACGAAAGAAUGAACUGCUUCUCUGUGUGCUCUCAGCCUUUCCUAGAAGAUGGAAUUGGGCAGAGGCAGGUUCGAAACAGCUGUUUCUAAAAUACAGGAGGCAGACAGAAUGGUCCGUCUGUGAUGGUUUCCUGAAUUCCAUCCCUAGCCGGGCCAGUUAACCCUGCGACACGCCAUCGAGCCACUUGAUAGUUCUACUAGUGUACGGAUUGGUAUGGAGAGAGAAAGAGUGCUGUAAGGAACAGCCCUCGUGGGGGGGUGGGGGGGGUGGGGGGGGGGGAAUUGGAAUAUUUGGAAUGGAAGGCUCCAAAAAGGAUACUAGUUACAGUUACAAUACAAAUAUGAUUGGCCUUUUUAAUGUGAAUUAUCGCCACGUCAUUUCUAAUUUAAAAUUCGAUUGUGUGGUUUGGUUUUUUUCACUGUCUAACUUUUCUUCCAGUUGGAAACCACAGGUAUUUGGGUUGGUCACCUUGUAGGUGGGUUCCUCGUUUACAUUUUCCCCACCCCUGGUCUAGGUCUUCUGAGUAGUCACCAUGAUCCCAGCCUUGCUCUCCAGCAUGUUCUCUUGCCUUACUGGUGUGCUGGUUCACGUCUCUCUCUUUCACUGGCGUGGUUCCCUGGUUAUUCCCUGAUGUCGUUUGUACUCCCCCCCCCCCCGGUUGCCUGAGAAAUCUGUGUGUUUGGUCCUCCUGUCUGUCCCCUUCACUGGUGAGAAGACGCCCACUCGAUGCUCACCAGUGGAUGAACGGGACAGAGAGCCCUGGCUUCGGGACUCGGGUGCAGUCCCUUCGCCGGCUGCCCUUGUGGCCUAGGCAGGUUUGGUUCGCUUGACCUCUGUCUGCCUCAGUUUCUCUACUACAAAGGACAUACUGACCUACCUACCUCACAGGGGUGUUGUGAGGAUUAAUAAACAUUGGUACAGUGCUUUGAAAA